rnacentral:rRNA from 1 species
AAUAGAUACCCGGGUAGUCCACGCCGUAAACGAUGGAUGCUAGCUGUACGAAGUAUCGACCCUUUGUGUAGCGAAGCUAACGCGUUAAGCAUCCCGCCUGUGGAGUACGGUCGCAAGACUAAAACAUAAAGGAAUUGACGGGGGACCCGCACAAGCGGUGGAGCGUGUUGUUUAAUUCGAUGAUAAGCGAAGAACCUUACCAAGGUUUGACAUCCUGCUAAGGUCUCCGAAAGGAGACUGUGCCUUCGGGCCGCAGUGACAGGUGAUGCAUGGCCGUCGUCAGCUCGUGUCGUGAGAUGUUUGGUUAAGUCCAUCAACGAGCGCAACCCUUAUAGUUAGUUGGAUUUCUCUAGCUAGACUGCCCCGGUAACGGGGAGGAAGGAGGGGAUGAUGUCAGGUCAGUAUUCCCUUACACCUUGGGCUACAAACACGCUACAAUGGCCGGUACAAAGGGCAGCCAACCCGCGAGGGGGAGCAAAUCCCAUCGAAAGCCGGUCUCAGUUCGGAUUGUAGGCUGAAACUCGCCUGCAUGAAGUCGGAAUCGCU